rnacentral:rRNA from 1 species
ACGGCGAGUGAACAGGGAAGAGCCCAGCACCGAAGCCUGUGGCCAUUUGGWCUCUAGGMAAUGUGSUGWUUAGGUCAKCUCGCGGAGACACUGUCCCACUCUAAGWCCARCWAUGAGACUGGUMUCUGGACWUGGYCCAWMSAGGGUGAAAGGCCCGWGAGGGUGGGAACUCAGACAUGCCAGUGUCUCCCUGAGUAGACCUUGGAGUCGGGUUGUUUGUGAAUGCAGCCCAAAGUGGGUGGUAAACUCCAUCCAAGGCUAAAUACUAACACGAGUCCGAUAGCGAACAAGUACCGUGAGGGAAAGUUGAAAAGUACUUUGAAGAGAGAGUAAACAGUGCGUGAAACCGCUCAGAGGUAAACGGGUGGAGUUGAACUGCAAAGCUCCGAGAAUUUAACUGGUGAGUGUGGUAUACACUUGGAUAUAUUGGUUGGCCCUCAAAGUCUGCAGAAAACUGUGGAGGCUGUGCUAACGCGCGGCGUGCGUUGAAGCGCUUAUCAAGCGCUGUGCUCUUUGGGGGUACUUCGAACCUGCUUGCCAGUGCAUUUUCUCAGAGUGAUCACCACGACCGGCGCUGCUGUCUGUCUGCUGUGGUUAAACCGGGUGUGUAUCGUCCUUGUGGCUUUGCAUACUCGGGAUGGCAGGUAACCCGAUUGUGCUUGUCGCGAUUGGGUGUAAUCAGCUGACCAUAGUAGUACUGUACAGUGCGUCGGAGACGGCGGCUUGUGGUGCGUACAUGCGUGCAUGUUGAGUGGCGGCUUUGGGUCUGGUUAUACUGUAGCCUGUAAAAACAGGCCCUGUAAUGGCCCAGGGUUGUUCACUUGAUGGUUGCGUAUGGGGCACUUUAAUGGGCCUACAGUCUGUGG